rnacentral:rRNA from 1 species
AUUGAACGCUGGCGGCAGGCCUAACACAUGCAAGUCGAGCGGAUGAAGAGAGCUUGCUCUCUGAUUCAGCGGCGGACGGGUGAGUAAUGCCUAGGAAUCUGCCUGGUAGUGGGGGACAACGUUUCGAAAGGAACGCUAAUACCGCAUACGUCCUACGGGAGAAAGUGGGGGAUCUUCGGACCUCACGCUAUCAAAUGAGCCUAGGUACGAUUAGCUAGUUGGUGAGGUAACGGCUCACCAAGGCGACGAUCGUUAACUGGUCUGAGAGGAUGAUCAGUCACACUGGAACUGAGACACGGUCCAGACUCCUACGGGAGGCAGCAGUGGGGAAUAUUGGACAAUGGGCGAAAGCCUGAUCCAGCCAUGCCGCGUGUGUGAAGAAGGUCUUCGGAUUGUAAAGCACUUUAAGUUGGGAGGAAGGGCAGUAAGUUAAUACCUUGCUGUUUUGACGUUACCGACAGAAUAAGCACCGGCUAACUUCGUGCCAGCAGCCGCAGUAA